rnacentral:lncRNA from 1 species
GAUCCUGUAGAAGUUUACCCUAAAGUCAAACGUGAAAAAUAUAUCAAUAUUUUUAAAGUACACUUUCCAGUACUUUAUGUGUCACUUUUACAUACUUCCUUUUUCUCUCUGAGUUCCAGAGGGGUGAGUUCCCAGGUGAUGGGGCUCUGUGUGAGAACAGACUGGGCAGGAGAUGCCUUGGACCCUGACCUUUGGGAAGGGGCCGGGUGUAUCUCCUCUGUCAGACCCUGGACAGAUCAUGGCCUUGAGAAGUGAGUCAAUGGCUGAGGUGAGGUACCUCACCCCGGGGAUCUCAUAACCCAAUUCAGACUACCCUCCCCUGUC